rnacentral:lncRNA from 1 species
AGAAGAGUUGUGUUAUACACAAGUAUUAUGAGAAAUCAAAUAAAAACAAAGAUAUAUAUAGUAGAUAUUGAUGGAUGUAAGAUGAAAAAGGAGGGACAUUCCAUCUUUCUUUUCCAUAAAGAAGAUAAACAAAAAAGGAAUUUGUUUUCUGACUGCAAAAGAGAGAGACUGCUAGAUUCAAGUCCAUUGGUAUUAGUCCAAGAGCAGAAAAGAGAAAAGAUGAUGAACCCCAUUUAAUGUUGUGCUGCAUUCACAGAAAGAAAAGUAAAAAAAUUUAAAGAUAAGACAGUGCAGUGUGGAGACACAAGUAACAGUUUCAGAUCAACCUAGUAGUUCCAAGCCUGUAAUAAGGAUACAUUCUCCAAUGGAGACCAAAUUAGACCUUAUCUUAGACACAAUCAAAUUGUGAAACAGAAAGAAAAUAUAAACAAGGUAUUUAUCCUCACCACAUGCUUAUUGUUG